rnacentral:rRNA from 1 species
GACGACGCUGGCGGCGUGCCUAACACAUGCAAGUCGAGCGGAGUCGAUCGACGGAAGCCGUUCGGGCGGAAGAUGGUUGACUUAGCGGCGGAUGGGUGAGUAACGCGUGGGCAACCUGCCUCGAAGACCGGGAUAACAGACCGAAAGGGCUGCUAAUACCGGAUGUGGUCAAGGAUCCGCAUGGAUCUUUGAUUAAAGGGGAAACCCGUUUCGAGAUGGGCCCGCGUCCUAUCAGCUAGUUGGUGAGGUAAAAGCUCACCAAGGCGACGACGGGUAGCCGGCCUGAGAGGGUGACCGGCCACACUGGAACUGAGACACGGUCCAGACUCCUACGGGAGGCAGCAGUGGGGAAUUUUGCGCAAUGGGGGAAACCCUGACGCAGCGACGCCGCGUGGAGGAUGACGGCCUUCGGGUUGUAAACUCCUGUCAGAAGGGACGAAAUCCCGCAAGGGACUGACGGUACCUUCAGAGGAAGCCCCGGCUAACUACGUG